AGAGUUUGAUCCUGGCUCAGAUUGAACGCUGGCGGCAGGCUUAACACAUGCAAGUCGAGCGGAAACGAUGAUAGCUUGCUAUCAGGCGUCGAGCGGCGGACGGGUGAGUAAUACUUAGGAAUCUACCUAGUAGUGGGGGAUAGCUCGGGGAAACUCGAAUUAAUACCGCAUACGACCUACGGGAGAAAGGGGGCAACUUGUUGCUCUCGCUAUUAGAUGAGCCUAAGUCGGAUUAGCUAGAUGGUGGGGUAAAGGCCUACCAUGGCGACGAUCUGUAGCUGGUCUGAGAGGAUGAUCAGCCACACCGGGACUGAGACACGGCCCGGACUCCUACGGGAGGCAGCAGUGGGGAAUAUUGGACAAUGGGGGCAACCCUGAUCCAGCCAUGCCGCGUGUGUGAAGAAGGCCUUUUGGUUGUAAAGCACUUUAAGCAGUGAAGAAGACUCCGUGGUUAAUACCCACGGACGAUGACAUUAGCUGCAGAAUAAGCACCGGCUAACUCUGUGCCAGCAGCCGCGGUAAUACAGAGGGUGCAAGCGUUAAUCGGAAUUACUGGGCGUAAGCGAGCGUAGGUGGCUUGAUAAGUCAGAUGUGAAAUCCCCGGGCUUAACCUGGGAACUGCAUCUGAUACUGUUAGGCUAGAAUAGGUGAGAGGAAGGUAGAAUUCCAGGUGUAGCGGUGAAAUGCGUAGAGAUCUGGAGGAAUACCGAUGGCGAAAGGCAGCCUUCUGGCAUCAUAUUGACACUGAGGUUCGAAAGCGUGGGUAGCAAACAGGAUUAGAUACCCUGGUAGUCCACGCCGUAAACGAUGUCUACUAGUCGUUGGGUCCCUUGAGGACUUAGUG
rnacentral:rRNA from 1 species